GGCUGAGAUGAGCCUCAGUAGUUCAGACUUUCUUUACCUUUCUUUUGCUAUUUUUAGGCCCAGCUGUGGUCCCUCACCAGUAUUAUGGAGUUACUCCCUGGGGAGUCUACCCUGCCAGUCUUUUCCAGCAGCAAGCUGCCGCUGCCGCUGCAGCAACUAAUUCAGCUAAUCAACAGACCACCCCACAGGCUCAGCAAGGACAGCAGCAGGUUCUCCGUGGAGGAGCCAGCCAACGUCCUUUGACCCCAAACCAGAACCAGCAGGGACAGCAAACGGAUCCCCUUGUGGCAGCUGCAGCAGUGAAUUCUGCCCUUGCAUUUGGACAAGGUCUGGCAGCAGGCAUGCCAGGUGCGGCUGCAUUGUUAUUCCUAAUACUUUGGCAGGGAAAAAGGCUGCACGUUUGAGGUUAUCCGGUGUUGGCUCCUGCUGCUUACUAUGACCAAACUGGUGCCCUUGUAGUGAAUGCAGGCGCGAGAAAUGGUCUUGGAGCUCCUGUUCGACUUGUAGCUCCUGCCCCAGUCAUCAUUAGUUCCUCAGCUGCACAAGCAGCUGUUGCAGCAGCCGCAGCUUCAGCAAAUGGAGCAGCUGGUGGUCUUGCUGGAACAACAAAUGGACCAUUUCGCCCUUUAGGAACACAGCAGCCUCAGCCCCAGCCCCAGCAGCAGCCCAAUAACAACCUGGCAUCCAGUUCUUUCUACGGCAACAACUCUCUGAACAGCAAUUCACAGAGCAGCUCCCUCUUCUCCCAGGGCUCUGCCCAGCCUGCCAACACAUCCUUGGGAUUCGGAAGUAGCAGUUCUCUCGGCGCCACC
rnacentral:lncRNA from 1 species